UAAAAAAAGUCCUUAAAAAAAAAAAAAAAGGCUUCUCUUUUGUGCUAUGUGCCCUGCACUGCUGACACGGAAGGAAGACUUUAAGAUUGCAUUUGAUUUAGUUAGUUAGUUAGUUAGUUAGUUAGUUAGUUAGUUAAAUUGUUUUGUUUUGUUGGAAACAGGGUUUCUAUGUGUAGCUUUGGCUGUCCUGGAACCAGCGCUGUGGAAGAGGCUGGCCUCAAACUUGUAGAGAUUCGUCUGUUUCCGCUUCCCCAAUGCUGAGAUUAAAGACAUGCACCACAACUGCCUAGCUUUCGACUUUAAAACUUGUUUUAAAGGGCUAAAUCUGUGUUUUCUAUUUCCAUGAACAUUUAUUUAGGCUUUGCAGAGAAAAUAUUUUCAUUAUUUUCCCUCAGAAGUUUACUGAAUGCUCUAAAUCCACAUGAAUUUUUCUCAUCCACCAACUAGGUCUCUGCUUGUUUGUUUUUCCUUCUGCGUGCCCUUUAAGCGUGGAUUGGUUUAACAGGAAGACGAUGUGAAUUCCCUUGAAAAUAAGAUGCUUAAUAUUUGGCAUUCGUAAGCGUUUCAUUACUGUUUAUAACUUGUGGCCUUGACUUGUUCUGAAUGAUGAUCAAGAAAAGAUAGAGAGAAAAACAAGUACCUUUGCUCAAGUGAAACAACAUCGCCUUUCGUCUUUAAUAAUUCUUUAUUGGGUUUUAUUAAAUAUAUGUGUAGUUUUGAUCAACACAAUACUAUAUAGUCAUAAUAUUACUUUCUACUGGUAUUAAUAGUAAAUAAAUAUAAUUAAAUUUAGAAAAUAAUCACAAAACCAUAGGUCAGUAAAAAUAUUUUAAUUGAAAUUUCAGUUUACAUAUAUAUGUGCAAUGACAUACCAUAAGGAAGUUAAUGGAAUAGUUUUGAGUAUAGCUGUAGAAAAGUAUAACAAUUAGCAAAAAAAUCCAGAGGAGAAUAAAAGAACGGAAUGAAGAGUCUAAAGAGAACAAGAAAUGAUACUAUUUUCUAAAAGUUAAAUUUAAAUACUUUUACAACCUGGUAAGUAGGCGUCUCUAAGCCCUUGGUGUAUAGAUGUUCAGAGACGGUGCUGAUAGGCUGUGCUUCUAUGUCAUUUGCAUAAAUCCCAUAAUCCCCACGAAGAGUGGGGUUGACAUAACUUGCUUAUAGCAUUUACAGCAAAAGUGGAAAAAUUUCCAAGACGAGGUUACAAAAAACCCUUUAACGAAUGUCCUCUUGUUCAUCCCCAUUCUUUCUCUCUGUCUCUCUGUCUCUCUUCCUCUCUCUCCCUCUCCCUCUCCCUCUCUCUCUCUGAGAAAAGCCAUUUGACACAUCGUGAACUACCUUCUGUGGUGGGUAACUGGGGAUGUCUCUGGCCAUUAGCCCACAGGAAGGGAAUCCAACCAACAAUGACGUGCAUGAGCCAAGGCGGUCUUGUCAAGCUUUCAGAUGCUAUCACGACGGAACUGUAAAGGAGCCCAUCAUCAUGACCUUGUGCUUCAGCUGAGUUGAGCUUGCAGACGUGGUGUCUACUUAGCAUCUCUCCUGCCACCCAGACAAGGCUGGACAGUCAACACGAACAGCCAAUGGCUGAAAGGAGACCUGAAGGAGCCUGGCAUGGCUGUCCUCUGCAAGGUUCUGCCAGCGCCUGACCGAAACAGAUGCAGAUGCUUACCAUCUGCAACCAUCGGACUGAGCCCGGGAACCCCAAUGGAAGAGUUAGGGGAAGGACUAAAGGAGCUGAAGGGGUUUGCAACCCCAUAGGAAGAACAACAAUAUCAUCCAACCAGUUCCCCCCUCCUGAGCUCCUAGGGACUAAACCACCAACCAAUCAGUACACAUGGAGGGACCCAUGGCUCCAGAUGCAUAUGUACCAGAGGAUGGCAUUGUCUGGCCUCAGUGAGAGGGCAUGCACUUGGACCUGUGAGGACCUCUGGGGCUUGAUGUUCCAGAGAAAGGGAA